rnacentral:rRNA from 1 species
CGGGAGUAACAACCUGGAAACAAGAUGCUAAUACCGGAUAACAACAGAUGAUGCCUAUCAACUGUUUAAAAGAUGGUUCUGCUAUCACUCUUGGAUGGACCUGCGAUGCAUUAGCUAGUUGGUAGGGUAACGGCCUACCAAGGCGAUGAUGCAUAGCCGAGUUGAGAGACUGAUCGGCCACAUUGGGACUGAGACACGGCCCAAACUCCUACGGGAGGCAGCAGGU